rnacentral:rRNA from 1 species
UACGUAGGCAGCGAGCGUUGUUCGGAGUUACUGGGCGUAAAGGGUGUGUAGGCGGUUGGUUAAGUUUGGUGUGAAAUCUCCCGGCUCAACCGGGAGGGUGCGCCGAAUACUGAAUGACUUGGAGUGCGGGAGAGGAAAGUGGAAUUCCUGGUGUAGCGGUGAAAUGCGUAGAUAUCAGGAGGAACACCGGUGGUGUAGACGGCUUUCUGGACCGUAACUGACGCUGAGACACGAAAGCGUGGGUAGCAAACAGG